rnacentral:rRNA from 1 species
GUGUCAGCAGCCGCGGUAAUACGGAGGGUGCGAGCGUUAAUCGGAAUUACUGGGCGUAAAGCGCGUGCAGGUGGUCUGUUAAGUCAGAUGUGAAAGCCCCGGGCUCAACCUGGGAAUUGCAUUUGAAACUGGCAGGCUAGAGUACUGUAGAGGGGGGUAGAAUUUCAGGUGUAGCGGUGAAAUGCGUAGAGAUCUGAAGGAAUACCAGUGGCGAAGGCGGCCCCCUGGACAGAUACUGACACUCAGAUGCGAAAGCGUGGGGAGCAAACAGGAUUAGAUACCCCCGUAGUCC